rnacentral:rRNA from 1 species
CGGGACGGGUGAGUAAUGUCGUGGGAAACUGCCUGAUGGGAGGGGGAUACUACUGGAAACGGUAGCUAAUACCGCAUAACGUCGCAAGACCAAAGAGGGGGACCUUCGGGCCUCUUGCCAUCGGAUGUGCCCAGAUGGGAUUAGCUAGUAGGUGGGGUAACGGCUCACCUAGGCGACGAUCCCUAGCUGGUCUGAGAGGAUGGCCAGCCACACUGGAACUGAGACACGGUCCAG